rnacentral:rRNA from 1 species
GAUGAACGCUGGCGGCGUGCCUAAUACAUGCAAGUCGAGCGAACAGACGAGGAUCUUGCUCCUCUGACGUUAGCGGCGGACGGGUGAGUAACACGUGUAUAACCUACCUAUAGGACUGGGAUAACUUCGGGAAACCGGAGCUAAUACCGGAUAAUAUAUUGAACCGCAUGGUUCAAUAGUGAAAGACGGUUUUGCUGUCACUUAUAGAUGGAUCCUCGCCGCAUUAGCUAGUUGGUAAGGUAACGGCUUACCAAGGCAACGAUGCGUAGCCGACCUGAGAGGGUGAUCGGCCACACUGGAACUGAGACACGGUCCAGACUCCUACGGGAGGCAGCAGUAGGGAAUCUUCCGCAAUGGGCGAAAGCCUGACGGAGCAACGCCGCGUGAAUGAUGAAGGUCUUCGGAUCGUAAAACUCUGUUAUUAGGGAAGAACAAAUGUGUAAGUAACUAUGCACGUCUUGACGGUACCUAAUCAGAAAGCAACGGCUAACUACGUG